rnacentral:rRNA from 1 species
UACGGGAGGCAGCAGUGGGGAAUAUUGCACAAUGGGCGAAAGCCUGAUGCAGCUAUGCCGCGUGUAUGAAGAAGGCCUUAGGGUUGUAAAGUACUUUCAUCGGGGAGGAAAAAACAAAACUAAUAAUUUUAUUUCUUGACGUUACCCGAAAAAGAAGCACCGGCUAACUCCGUGCCAGCAGCCGCGGUAAUACGGAGGGUGCUAGCGUUAAUCAGAAUUACUGGGCGUAAAGAGCACGUAGGUGGUUUUUUUAAGUCAGAUGUGAAUCCCUGGGCUUAACCUAGGAACUGCAUUUUGAAACUGAAAUACUAGAGUAUCGUAGAGGGAGGUAGAAUUCUAGGUGUAGCGGUGAAAUGCGUAGAUAUCUGGAGGAUACCUGUGGCGAAAGCGGCCUCCUAAACGAAUACUGACACUGAGGUGCGAAAGCGUGGGGAGCAAACAGGGAUUAGAUACC